CCCCCAAGGAGACACACAAACACACACACAUAUAUAAUCUUGACCAAGGCAGACGUAUGAAAAGGAACAGCGUGAUGUGAAAUGGUUUGGCUUCAUGAGGGUCUGCGACUAUAGCAGCAGCAGCAGCAGCAGCAGCCUGCGGCAGGAGAAGAGAAAGCUGUCCUUCUGUGUGAGAAAAGUCCUUGCAGAACCAGAAGAUCUUUCAUCGAAGUUUCAGCUGCACCAACCGAACACUGAGGAAACGACAGCAAAUGGGGCCGCUGCAAAUGUUUUCAUCGGCUGCUGCAUGAAAAUACGGUAAACAUCACUGCCGUGUCUGUGAGAGACACAAGGUGGGUAUGGAUUAAAAACACCCACGCCGAAGGGCAUGCAGACACAAACGAUUUCACGUUGGCCACAUCAAAACGCACGCAUCGCACACUCUGUCUCCUCUGCACGCUUUUAACCGUGAUUAAUAACACUCACAUUACRUCAAAUCUCCAAACUAGGCACCUCCGGAUAACGUAUCACAUUAUCGUGUGUGUCCAGGUCACAUUGGUUCUCAGUAAAAACCCACCGCUGUCCCUGGCAGUUUAAUUAAGCACGUUUCCAAAUAUGCACAUAGACAAAAAAGUAGCUUGCAGGUUUCCCCCGUAUGCGGCAACGUUUCACCAACUUUUCACGCUCGACGAACGUUUCAUAUUCGACGCACAUGAGAGACAUCGUCACUCAGAAGAGCGAAGAAGUUGUCGCGCUAAAGAUUGGAGGACAAAUCUGGCCGCAGAAGCUCUCGUCUCCGUCUGUCGCUAAUCUUUUUAAUGAAACUAAAGCUCUAUGCYGUAUCUGGGAUAGUAUAAUCGCUGCACUAAAUAACACACAGUGACAUUUAUACAGCGUAUAUGAGAUGACGCUGUGCUAAUAACAGUCGGUAAAGGGAGAGGAGGGCCUUGCAAGCAUGUUAAAUACAUUUUUCCUACACUUUAAUGUGAUGAUUUUUAACAAUUUUCCGUGAAACCGGUUUUAUUGCCGUGUUUACAAACAUGGUUGAUGUUAAUGUGUGUUUAAUGCUCAGUCUGGGCCCGAAUUUAGCUGUAAACACUGACAACGCUGUUUUCUCUAAAACCGAGCAGCAAAUCUUGGAUUUUUAUAGAAGUUUUUUUUCUUCUUCUUCUUCUUCUUCUUCUUUUUUUUAAAUUAAUCUUAAAAUUGACAGUGGACAAGCGUGGCUCCAAUAACUGCAAUACUUUGGGCUUCUAUUGAAUUUCUCUUGUAAAACUUUCUCCCAACAGCCCAUCACGUCUGCCUGACCUGCAGUCACCUCUGUCCCACGAGGCGCUGAUGUCAUCUGACAAGGUGACGUCCUCUGGCCCACCAGAAUGUCGGACGCAGAGUACGGCUGAGCGGUCAAGAAGAUUAGCUUUUUAUCAACUUUUCCUGAGAGUUUCUACCGUCUUUUUCAAAAGCAUCAGAAUAUCCAAGAAAGAUGGGGGGAAAAAAGAUUACAAGCAUGCUUCCUGUUUGUUGACCACAAAGAUACUUCAUGCUUGUACUUAGUAACAAAAAGUGCAUACUUAUGUUGUCUUGCGAAAGUGCUAAGGUCCCUUAGGUCUUUCCAUUUCCAUUUUGGACAAAUUCUUCUGCCCCUUCUUCUGCUUGCCUCCCCAAACUAUUAAAAGCACGAAAGAAACUUGCAAGAUUUGCAGCUGCAAUUGCAGCAAAAGCAGUUAAMGUGUUUUUCAAGGGCGGCUGAAUGCAAACGCACCCCCCAUUUUACUCACUUUUAAUCUGUAAACAUGAUUUACUUCCAGACAUGAACUAAAUUGUGCAGGCCAAUCGCAGCACAAUCCCAAUAUAUUUACAUUGAAGUCGAGGUUUUACGGGGUGUCGGCGCUCAUUCAGGGUUCUGGAUUCGUUUGUAGGCUUUCUGGUUAGUCCAUCUGCAUCAGCAUCGCUCUGGAAGAUGAGAACGGUUAAAUGCAACGACCUUCUGGUUUUUAAUACUGAUGGAUCCAGGCUGCUUCGCGCUUUAGGAGCAGAUCCUCCUUACGAUCACAUUUUGGGUCGAUUCAGUCAGUGAUGAAACUCCUAACGGGCUAAACUGUGACACUACAGACCGAUUCAGAGACUCCGUUAUUUGUGCACGUGUGCAAAAACAUUCUAUUUCUGUUUCUAUUUCAAAGCUGGACAAACUGCUGAUAACAAAAAUAAAAUGUUUGCAACUGUGCAGCAGACCUUAUAUGUUCAUAAACUGCACUGAUUUAUACAGUAUGGUUCUAUUAUAGAGAGCUUUACACUACUUUUCUCACACGGUCUCAAUAUUCAGUUAGGAAGUAAGUGUUAAAAACCCCCUUUGGAUCUCGUAGCAGCAGCGCCAAGAGACCAUAAGUGGUGUACGGGCUCCGUUGUCCUAAUUGGCUCCAGCGGCUGCCCCUGUCAUGGUGUAAAAGUUAUGCCUAGUGAGACCCGACUCUUUGCUCAUUUCCCUUUUUUUCUAUUUAACUUUGGUUUACUCUUUUUAGAAAGAAAUUAUUUUUUUUCCCUCAAACCUCUAUUUUAAAACGUAGCCCUGAGAGCUCCAUCUAAACAAACCGGCUUUGGAAAAAAAAUAAAAUUAUAAAUUACAACUUWACAYUAAGAGGAUGGCAGUUUCUCUUGAAAAGAAGUGAGAGAAAUUGUCUCCAAGAGGCAGAUAAAGGUGACCUAUUAGAGACUUUUUCAGGUCUGUGCUUAAAACCCUUUGAGAAUCCAACUCUAUUUUUCUUUUGCACAUCUCRCAGAUGGCUGACGAGAUGGGGAUCUUAGUAAUUUGGAUUCCACUUAAGUUCUGUGUCAUGUUCCAGAAUUGAUUGCUGCAGUCGAGUAAAAAAGGAAGCUGGACUGUUUGUGUAAGAGACCAGCUGUAGGUGAGAGCGACACCUUAAAUCAGUCCAUACAAACAGAGAGCAGCAUGUUACAGGACGCAUAGAAGGAAGAUUUUUACAGCUUGAUUUUUGUUUUCUCCAAAARCUGUCMUUCAACCUUUAGUUUAGCUUUUUUUUUUUUUUUCUGUUGCGUAUUAUACAUUUCCGUGACAUUCAGAAAACACCUUUCAAAAUCCAUCCUCCUUUAUCCGCUCGCUGGCUAUCUUUUUGCAUCACCGGGAGCUCAUAAAUGUUUGCCCGGGCUAAAAAAAACAACAAAAAAACAAAAUAAAAACAGAAAAACAUCAAGAGUAAAUCURAUAGUUUUUGUUUUGUUUUGUUUUGUUUUUUUCGCCCCAUAUUCUUUCAAAACUAUUACAGAAACAAAUGAAAAAGUUUCUAUCUGCCCCACAGCUCCAAUCUAUUCUCCAGAUAAACCCGUUCACAUCCACCUCUCUUAAUCAGGAGGAAAGCAACUUCCCUUCAUUUCUUCAGCAUGGUGGUUGGGAUUUGUUCUCUUCUGGCCUGCAGCAGCAGCAGCAGUCAGACACACAUCAGACUGCAGCAGCAGCAGCAGUCAGACACACAUCAGACUGCAGCAGCAGCAGCAGCACGCUUUUGUGUCCUGACACAUUUCUGUCACAGACACAAUUAAUGCCUAAAGCGAUACUUUGUGGAGCCGGACUGCACAGGGCGCUCGCUCUUCCCCCACAUGGACACAAUGCAAGUACAGGUUUGCCUGUUGUCCUUCCCUGGACCACUUUCAUGAGCUACAGCAACCGUGCACAGAAAAGCCUAAAUGUUGCGUUACUUCAAAGCAUUGUGGGGCUAUUUUGUGGUAAACCAACACAAACUAGUGCAUAAUUCUGCAGUGGAUGGAAAUUAUGGCUGAAAACAUCAGAUUAAAAUCUGAAGUGUGUGGGGUGCAUUUGUAUUCAGUCCCCAUUUUUCUUUGAUGGCUUUAUAGACAAUCCAGUCUGAAUAAUUGCCUUUUGGAAGUUUCCUAAUUAGUAACCGAGAUCAACACGCAUUCCUGUCGCAAUAACAAAUUUCGCUGGACAAUAAUUUGUCGCAGAAGUUACUGCGAUAAAUGACAAUAUUGUCGUUUAUCGCAGUUUACAUGAUGCAGUUUACAAGUGCAUCAAGUUGCACUUUCAAGCAAUAUAACGUGAAUAGCAUGAUAAUGAAAGCAUUCGCAUGGUUAAAUUGAGACCAAACUUUAAAACUCYAUGURUGGCACUUUACUCUAAACCCACCAUUUUGGAGGCUCAGCAUGGUGGUGGCAGCAUUAUUCUCUGUGGAUGCUUUAGGAAUGGAGAAGACUGUUAAUGGGUAAAGGCUCUUCUUCUGGCAGAGCUGCCAUCUUAAUACAGCCAGAGCAGACAUUCAAUCUAGUGUUUUAGAUCAAAGAAUAUUCAUGUCUUAGAAUGGUCUAGUCAAAGUUGAAACCUAAAUGUUUUUGGGAUUUUUUUUCUUGUUUGGAAAGUUUUGAAAACUGGUGUUCACUCUCUGUCUAAUCUGAGCUUAAGUUGUUUGGUAAAUAUUUCCGUCUGUAGAUGUUGACUGUGUCACUUUUCAGAUUUGUAUUUCUGCAAAAUGUAAAAAAAACAACAACCCUAUUUUGCAUUGAUCUGUGAUGAUUUUAAAGUGAUAUAAUGGCGUAGAAAUACAUUUGAAAAGUCCAGUGAUUUAUCCGGGUGGGAUCCGACAUCCCUCCUGAGCUGCUAUCAGAGAUGAGAUCCAGACCUUUUCCGGCCCAGGCAUUCAGCCUCUAAAGUACAACACUUUAAGAUUUGAGCUACCGAUUCGGUCUCCGUUCCGCUCCGACACUUUUCGGCUGCCAAAGAGAAGGGCAUUCACUUUAUUUGUUUUCUUAAUUUUUAAUUUUUUUUUUUUUGAAAGGUUCUGCUGAGCAGUGUUGUUUUGCAACAACAAUUUUACAGAUUCACAAAAAGUAAUUUUGUUUUUAAAGACCCCAGUCACACGAGCCAGACGACUUUAUUACACACUUCAGGUUUGCAGCGUGAUGAUUCAUCAGUUACAGACAUUUAAAUAACUUUUUAUUUUUUUUAUUUUAACACCACAUGGGAGGGGUUAGCGAGAGCUUACAAUUAUGCUAUUAUUCCCAGUGUGUCCUGUUAGGCUAAACAUUUCAAAUCCAUCAUAGAAGGCAUAAUUAAUCCGGUUCACUUGAAUGGGAUAAUAAACCCUGUGUAAUACGCUUUACAUGGAGGUGAUUGGCAGCUUGUCUUCUAGCCUCCAGGUGAGCAUUAGAAGGAGGCAGAGAGUGCGAUGGGGAUCACAUGGGCACUAAUGCGUGUGCCCUUGUGAGCACGUGCUGCCUGUGCGUUCGUGGCGGCGCAAUUUGGUUUCGUCUGUUGUGAUCCAGUCCCAGCUGUGUCUCAUUAACGGCUGUCAUUUUAAUCCUCUUAGUCAAAUCCCAUAAUUUUGUCCAUCAACAAAAACACAAGCAACAGGGCGACGACAGAGUACCCAGCUUCAGUCGUUCAGGAAGGGGGGGGGGAGGCAAGUCAGGGYGGCGUCAACGGCAGCACGGCUGCAUCCAGACAGAUGUUAUGUAAAACGACCCCGCCGCUCUUUGAACUGUUUUGAUGAGAAGCUACAGUUAAUCUGACUUGGACUGUGCAGAUUUCGAGGAAAAGCGUGGAUUUUUGUCGGUCGUAGCUUUGCUCAUCUGUGCAUCCUCCUGGGACGAUGAUGAGCAGUUUGGUUAAAUUACACAUCCUGCCUGCAUCAUUCUCUCCCCCAUCCCUCUCACCCCCAUUGCCCAGGGCGGCAUUAAAAAAAAAAAAAAAAAGGGCAGUGUGUGAGCGCCAUACAAAAAAUUAUAACCUAUUUAUUGCUUGGCUGCGUCCUGAAGAAAAAAAAAGAAGAAAAAAAAGAAGUUAUCUAUUGCAUUUAUGCAUGUACGGUCAGGGAGGAGUUGGUUGCCGCUGAGAAUCCGGAGCCCAGGCUGUCAGUCACACAGCCUGGCCCACAUGUGGUCAKGUUCAGUGUAUCCCUCCCCGUUCAGCCGGACUCUCUGAACAAGGGUUAAAAGGAGGGCACUCCUGUGGACGUUUGCAUGGCUGAGGGUGAAGCAGCCGCUAAAUGAAGAAGAGAAAAGGCUUMAUUUCUCGCUGUUAGGGCGGGUGAACCACACCGAUGCCCCCUGAAUCUCCCUCGGUGAUUUUGGUGUGAAUUCGGUUGAGAAAUCUGCGACAGAUUCACAGUCCGCCUUCUCUGUGGCCGAGCGACUCUCUCUCCUCCUUCCACGAUGGAAAAGCUAUUUUCUUCUCUUUCCUCACACUGACAGCUGGUGUGUGCUCGCCACCAACAACACUUCAGCUCAGACCAGCUCUAUGUAUAGAUCCCUCUCAUUGCAAACAGCUAUUUUAGCACCUCCUGCAUGCUAAGAAUACACAUGCAACAUUCUGCCGUGCUUUAUGCCUUAUGCAAAUGCUUCUUCCUUUGUUUGCAAAUGAGAUUCGGAAGUGCUGCAAUGCACAGUUUCUUUAGAAAGAAAGAAUAAAAACACUUGGUUUUCUUAGCGACGAGCAACCCAACAGGAUUGUCCAAAUGCCAAGCCGUCYCCUGAGAGGAAUCGUGAUGCACACGGAGCUUGUGGUUACUUUUAAUUGUGACAUUUAUGAGAUAUAAGAGAGCAACAUUUGUUCUCCCCUUCCCCCUGUGCCAAAUCUGGCCAGCCGGGGGAUUCUUUUAGUUCCAUGAGAGCGAGUCGUCCAUUAAUUGUGAGUAUAACCGGUGAAUCGAUCUGUCAGGUGGUAUUUUCCCAAGCUGCAAAUUAGUUUCCCUGGAAGCUGUUGGACUACGUCGGAGAGAGCUGCGGCGUGUCUGCACCCUGGGUAUGGUAAUUCCACACUGUGUUGCCACAGCUUCCCAUGAUGACUAUAAAGUUCAAAUAAACACAUUGCAAUUACCAUCUUUUUCUUUUUUUUUUUUUUCUUUUUCGCUCAGUGCAUGGGCGCCUUUAGUGACUACCUCCACCAGGAGCUGGGACAAGCCUCACUGCCUCACUUUACCUCGGUGUCAUCCUGGGCUGCAAAACAAGAUUAAAUUGGUUCUGCUCAACUAUUUGCUGUCAGUUCAGAGCUCAGCUCUUUUCACCUCUUGGGAGCAUGGUGAUGGAGUAAAAGAGAAGCGCGAGGAGGAAACAGAGAGUUAAAGG